rnacentral:lncRNA from 1 species
UUUUUUCUUUAUUGUAAUGAAUCUUAAGUUGCCUGAAGUUCUUGCUCUUCAGGAGGACAAUUUUUUUUUUUUGUCUUCUUAGGGCCACACUCGCGGCAUAUAGAAGUUUCCAGGCUAGGGGUCAAACUGCAGCUACAGCUACCAGCCUACGCCAGAGCCCCAGCAAUGCCAGAUCCAAGCCGCGUCUGCAACCUACACCACAGCUCACGACAGCACCGGAUCCUUAACCCACUGAGCGAGGCCAGGGAUCGAACCCGGGUCCUCAUGGAUAUUAGUUGGGUUCCUUACUGCUGAGCCAUGACAGGGAUGCCACAGUUUUGGUUUUUUUUUAAAUGGGACUGAAGUGAAGUAUGUAUACUCUUAAUUCUUGGCCCAUUUCUGCAAGCCUCUGAAGUUAUAUUACACAGUUACAAACAAAAAGAAAUCAAGCCCUACAAUGAACAUACUAUUCCCCAGACCCUUUCAAAGUUUUCUUUGGUUGUUGGAGUUUAAAUCACAAUCAACAUUUUUAACAUCGGCCCAUCCUUGUCAUCUGGCACCACAAAGGAGGAAUCUGUGGGGGUGGGGGGGCCCGGAUAGUUGAGGUUUCGUUGUAAGCACUGCCACAGCCACCGCAUGCUCCCACCCGGUUUCAUCAGUGUCAUCAGCAAGGUUUGUAUGCUAAGCACGUGUGCGUGUGUGUGUGUGUGUGUGAGAGUGUGUGUGUGUGUCUUUUGUCUUUUUAGAGCCACACCCGAGGCAUAUGCAGGUUUCCAGGCUAGGGGUCUAAUUGGAGCUACAGCUGCUGGCCUACACAAGAGCCACAGCAACACAGGAUCCAAACCACGUCUGCAACCUAUACCACAGAUCACAGCAACACCAGAUCCUUAACCCAUUGAGCAAGGCCAGGAUCAAACCUGCAUCCUCAUGAAUGCUAGUCGAGUUUGUUAGUCACUGGGCCAUGAUGGGAACUCCCUAAGCACGUUUUUUAAUGUUCCAGUUUAGAUUGGCCUGUGCGGAGUUUGAAAAUAGGAUUUCACAACCCCUGAUACCAGUCACUGAACCACUUCACCCAGAAUGGCUCAAUUCCCAUCUGAACUUGCCAGUGGAUAAUAUCCGGUGCUGCAGGCUGCCAACAUGGGGUAACACCCAUAGGAUGCCAGGCUGAAACCCCCUGUGCUGGGCCCCAGGGCAGCAGUUGCCCUUACACUCCCCACUGUAUUGAGGUCUCCUCCUUCCCUGAGGGUUUUCCAGGCUCGGGUCCAUAACAAGUGUUUCAAAGAGAUGGGGCCCAAGCAUGAGCCCCAGAGGCUGCAGGACCCCCUGAGCAGACCCGUGAAGGAUGAAGCCAAGGAACACCUCACCCUGGGGGUGGCGGGGGGAGGCUGGCCCCACAGGAAACACAUCAUCAGGUUCUCAGGGCUUCCUUCCUCCCCAGGGGCCAGGGAUGUGCUCAGAGUGUGUACUUUCUAGAAAAGAAGGAGGCUGAUUUGGAGAAAGUUCAGCUUAAUUAUAAUCAUCUGUAAAGCAUACGUACAGCAAGAACCUUUCAACAUCAGGCUAUGAGUAAGGCGAGCCCCCUGUUUCCCAACCUCAACUUUCCCGACAUUUGGAAACAGAAAAUUCUAUGUUGGGGUUGCGGGGUGGCUGUCCUGGGCACUGCAGGAUGUUUAACAGCAUCUCUGGCCUUGACUCCGCUCGAUGCCACCCCCACUCCCAGGUGUGAGAACCAAAAUUGUCUUCAGAUAUUGCCAAAGGUCCUCUGGGGGGCAAAGUCCCUCCGCUCAGCCCCUUAAGAAUCUAUGGGUCUAAGAAAAGCUUUGGGGGUGGGCAAAGGUUGGGGCGAAGAGAAGCAAUCCAUACCCCAGAAUAGGUAUUUACCUGGCACUCCUCACACAUCAUCUCACUGGACAGAGGGAUCCUGUGGGGUGGGUGUCCUCACUCCCAUUUCACAGGUGAAAGAUUUAUGUAAUGUUGAUUCAUGUAACCGACUUGCCUGAAGUUGCCCAGAUCAGCAAGAGGCAGUGAUCCUUGUAUCCUGGAUGUUACACCACAAACCCAGCUCCCUACGGCUACAAAGCAUGGUGUUCAUUCUGUCAGAACCAGAGACUUUCCUUGGGCUUUCCUGGGCCCUGCUGAGGCAGUGCUCACAGUACCCUCACCCGAUCCCAUGCAAAGAAAGGCAUUAAAUCUUGAAGGCGGGAAUUCCCGUCAUGGGGCAGCGGAAACAAAUCCGACUAGGAACCAUGAGGUUAUGGGCUCGAUCCCUGGCCUCACUCAUGGGUUAAGGAUCCAGCAUUGCCAUGAGCUGUGGUGUACGUCACAGACGCAGCUCGGUUCUGCGUUGCUGUGGCUCUGGCGUAGGCCAGCAGCUGCAGCUCAGAUUCAACCUCUAGCCUGGGAACCUCCAUGUGCCGUAGCAAAGGGCAGCAGCUGACCUAAGCCUACCCAUUCUCCCUCCUGAGAGUACACUGGGGUUCAAUAAAUCCUUGCUUUACUUUUUUGAAAAAAAAAAAAAUUCUUUUAAUAAAAUGCAGUAAAGCAGGAAAAGGGCCCGUGACGUACAGCUCCAAAAGACUGUGUCAAAGAUUGUCUCCUCUGUUGAUUGCAUGACAAACUAAAAAGAGCCAGUAUUGACAUGUGAAUACAUAAUGAAUGCAUGAACAUUCUAAAAAGGUAUGGCAUAUACACACAAUUAAGACUGCACUGAAAAUUAGCUACCUAGUUAUUCACACAGAGGUGUGCACAGAUCCAUGAUGUGAUCAUGCAAAAAGUACCACUCUGGGCUGACAUGACUCACAACGACUGUUCAUCAAUGCAAAGCCCAGAAGCAUCCCAAAGCAGGUCAUCAGCUGGCAUCGAAGAAAAAAUUGUACACGAGACCCUCAUCUCUUUCUGCAGUGGUGCAGGGACCGGGGCACAGCGUUCGGUCUAGCCAGGAAUGACCCACUGACCAAAUGGACAACAGUGGGGAAAUGAGGGGUUUUCCAAACCCAGGAGCAAACUGCUGGGUGUGCUGCACACCGAGCUCCCUCCUGCACACGGACUCGCAGGCUUGUGUUCAUGAUCAGCGUGGUGGGCCACCUGGCGAACAGCAGGGGUCCUUCUACCAGCAUCACAAGGCUCACUGAUUUUCAAAUGUCUUAAGACAUCAGCAGCCUCUACAGUCACUCAGCCCUCCAGACUCCCCAAUUCCAGCCUCCUAUUCCAAAACAAGGCAGUUGUUAACCCUCUGCCCAUCAAGAAAUCUGAGAUUUAAGGGUGAGAGGGCUGCAUAACAUGGCACAUCAUGUGGGAACCGCUUAUCUAGGACACGCUGAACAGAAAAAGCACUUAGUACACUUAAGAUUGACACUUGGGGGGAAGCAAAGGUGGGGGGCAGCAUUAACAGGUGAAAAAUAGAGUGUCACCAUUCCUGAAGGAAAUUCUUUUCAACCUGUUGGUGAUUUGUCCUCAAAAGUUCUGCAGAAAGACCUAGUUUAUUGCCAACCCAGCCCCUGGGUCAAGCGUUUCUAGUAUAAUUCCACCCAAACCAUGCAGGCUCAGUAAAUGUUCACAGGUGGUGAUGAAUUUCUACUUCUGGCCAAGUGCACAGGGGAAAAAAAAAAAAAACCUAGCUGUUAAACAUUUGAAUACUGAUAGUCCUGAAACAAUAGGGGGAAAAAAGACAAGUGGAAGAAUGCACACACAAAAAAAUGGAAAUUACAAAUUGAACAGUUCAGGGUAGCAGGUAAGAGAACAGUGGACAACAACUACCUGGUCCAGGACUGGGUUCAUCCUUGCCCAGCUAUGUGGCUUUGAACAAGUUACUCAACCUCUCUGUGCCAUGGUUGCUUCAAGCCAUCCUGUGGGUUAAAAUUCAUGGUGCAGGAGACCGGGAAAUGUAAGCGACAUUUCCUAGCAUCAAGAAUGGAUUCUUCAAGCACUGUGACCUCCCCACCUCCACCUCCUCUCAGCCCCAUGUCAAGUGCAUCUGUUUUAAUCAGGGUUGCAGUGGCUUUUCUGGGGCUCUUGACCCCAAGCCUAACUGCCAGAGGGUACAAAUAGCUGCUGGGAAACCAUCAGAAAUAAGAGCCAUGAACCAGAAAAGAAGUUUAAUAAGGCCCAGGAGUCAAGUGGGUGUGCAGGAGGUGGCCUCAAGGUAUCAGAUUUUCUGGAUAAUGAAAGACCAGUUUAGAGGCUCUCCAACCCAACAACCUCUGACACUGCAGCGCUCUGUUAGAAAGUUCUGCCAUGGGCAGGGCUGAAUGCAGUCCGUUCCUCAGUGGUUUCUGCCUCCCAGCCCUAGCGUGACCUUCAGGGACCUUGCAGGGCUCCAGGCCCUCACUCCCAGGUCUUUCCUCGGAGGAGCACUCUCCUCUGGGGACUUCUGUGUUCAGCUGACAUCCCCCUGAGAUCAGGGCCUGAGAUCUGGACCCCAGGAUCUCCUUGCCCCACAUCCCCCCUUGAGACUUCAGCCAAUACAUCCAUCCUGGUGAGAAUCCCAGGGGAAAGGCUCAGACCGGUAACAGCACACGACAAAGGAUUUCUCAGCCUGAGUAACACGGCCGUCCCCGAACGUUACACAGACAACACGGCGUAACAGAGAAGGUGCUUUGAACAGAACAGGUGCACAAUAUUUAUUUAUUGUGCAGAUGAAUGCCCCAUUGAAGUCAAGGCAAGCGCCCUCCUCCCCGCUUUACUCAUGGUCAAUCUGGGCCACUUCCGGAAGAAACUUCCCGCUGCCGGAAUUCAGAGACACAGACGAGAGCCACCAACUAAUGGGCCUGGGCCGGAGGUCAAAAACAGGCAGCGGCCCACAGAUGUUGUGCUUGGCCUACACAGUGUUUUUUAAAUUUUUCAAUUCAUUGCCAACUUUUUAAAAGCUGGGGAUUUCAUAUGUAAAUCUAGAUUGGGGGCUUCUCUUGAAAAAAGAAUCAGAAGAGCUGGCAACCGUGGCUGGUGCUGGGUCACCGAUGUCCCUUUGGACGGGGACGAGUCCUCCAGUCCGCUCUGUCUUUACACCAGCCCCCAUCUUCCAGCCCUCUGCCUGUCCCCGAGGGCUUCUGAAGUUGUCCCUCUGGCCUGGGCUCAGCGGGGGAGCAUCAGUCCGUAUAAAGCAAAACAGAACCUGAGGGCCCAGGGACUGGUCUUUGCAGAGCAACCGCACAACUGCUUCAUCCCUCAUGUCCUAGUGUCAUUAUUAGCGGCAUCCCCUUUCACGCUCAGAGUCCCGGUUUGGGUAACAAAUUGUACAACCACCCAGAGCCCCUGCCAGCUCUAGACCUGCCUGGCCAACCCCAAGGAUUCUGUAGGCAAAGCCCUCAGAAGCAAGACCACCUGCUCUCUACAAAGCUUCCCAAGCUGACGAUGUCAGAAGUCCAGUGGGGUUCUCUUCCCAAAGGCCUUUCAAACACCCUGCGGAGCUGAUGGCAGUGGCCAGCCCCAGAGGGCCUGCAGUCCUGAGUGACAGGGAAGGCUGGGGGGGAUGGCUGGGCCUACACUUGGAAUAGGCAGAGGUCGAGAGAACAGAGAAGAAAGAGAAAAAGGAAUCUAAUUACCAAUCCCACCUCCAGGUACCAUUUCCCUUGCCUGAGGUCAAAGGGUCAACUAAGGCCACCCUAUCCUUCACCCCCACUUUCGGUGGGCAUAGGGAAGGGAAAAUGGCAGCUUUCAUAGUGAGACAAGUCAUCAGAUUGCACUUACUAUCUCUUCCAGAAUCUUCUACCCUCUUGAGUCAAACGCAUUAACUUGUCAGAGCCGGGAACACAGCUUCCACUCAUGCCUACAGAGAGAAAGACUUACCAAACCUUAGAGUAAAUGUGAGCCAGAGUUUUAAAAAAUAUCUAGUUACCCAACAUUUUGGAGGCUUUUUAGCGUCCCUGGGGGAAGUUCCCUGCUUUAGGGGAUGUUUGGCGAAGACACAGCCACAGGAAGGGAAGCAGGUAAUGGGAACACCCAGCCAGCUCUGGGACCCGGGCUGCAACAUUCUUAAGGAUUCCAGCCGAGGCCAACAGGGAAGCUUUAUACUUAACCCUAAAACCAAAGUGUUCCCUUCCCAAUCUUUAAAGGGUUAAAGGCUCAAGAGGGAACGAUUUCACUGAGGGAGGAGGGUAGUAGAAUGGCUCCCUCCCCCUAAUAAAAAUUCUGGCAAGAGCAGACCAUAUGCGAGAGGGGAAAGGCGAGGCCGGAAAUCCAAUAUUGCUGUCUUGACAUUUUAUAUGAAAACCUGACAUAACUAGAUAUCACAAGGCAUCUGAGGCUUAUUUUUUUUCCCCUAAUGGGAGCAAACAAGAAAAUCUGGGUCUUAAAAUUCUUAAGGUCCAUGUGAACUUAAAAUCCCUAACCCUCUUCCUUUCCAAAGUGGGCAUCUCCUAGGAGUCACUGCAACCCAAAUCUGUUGCGAGGUUUCCUUUGGUAACUGCCUGCCUCAGAUACGCCUGAGCUAAUAUUAAGGCGCCCUCCGCAUCUAAACAGAUUCCCAACACUUCAAUCCCUCCAAGAUAAUGUUCUCCAGAGACACAGGGAAGGGCUCAGACUUUGAAGUGGGCUGGGAAAUCAGCUAGAGUUGCUUCAGCACUGAUCAAACUCUACGGAAAGGAUAGAGAGAACACAGCAAAAGAAAUGCUCUCUUACAUUUUCCCUGAUCAAGUCAGCCAAC